rnacentral:rRNA from 1 species
CAUCGCUCCCUGAAUAAACUCACAUAGGGGGUCCUGCCUGCCCAGUGACUAUUAGUUAAACGGCCGCGGUAUCUUGACCGUGCGAAGGUAGCAUAAUCACUUGUCUCCUAAAUAGAGACUAGUAUGAAUGGCAAGACGGAACUUAACUGUCUCCUUUUUCUAACCAGAAAUUAACUUCCCCGUGAAGAGGCGGGGAUUUAUACGCUAGACGAGAAGACCCUGUCGAGCUUAAAGAAAUUUUUAGGUUAAACUUCAUUUUAUUAUUUGCUAAUUUAAAUAUAGUUACAUAGAAAUAUAAUUUUUACACCUAUUUAUACUUUUGGUUGGGGCAACCAUGGAGAAAAAAAAUCCUCCAUUAUAUUCAAUCCCAUAUCUAUAUGAAGAAAUACACUUCUUUAACAAACAAAGUUUGAAUCAUGAUCCGCUAAGGCGAUUAAAGGAAAAAGUUACCGCAGGGAUAACAGCGUUAUCUUCUCUAAGAGUCCACAUUGACGAGAAGGUUUGCGACCUCGAUGUUGGAUCGGGACAUCCUAAGGGUGCAGAAGCUCUUAAAGGUUGGUCUGUUCGACCAUUAAAGUCCUAC